GGUUUAAGCGUGUAGGUGUGUGUUCCAGGUAAAUCCGGUUCACUUUAACACUGAGGCGUGACGACGAGGCACUACGGUGCUGAAGCAACAAAUGCCCUGCUUCCAGGAAAAGCCUCUAAGCAUCAGGUAACAUCAAAUCGUACCCCAAACCGACACAGGUGGUCAGGUAGAGAAUACCAAGGCGCUUGAGAGAACUCGGGUGAAGGAACUAGGCAAAAUGGUGCCGUAACUUCGGGAGAAGGCACGCUGACACGUAGGUGAAGUGAUUUACUCAUGGAGCUGAAGUCAGUCGAAGAUACCAGCUGGCUGCAACUGUUUAUUAAAAACACAGCACUGUGCAAACACGAAAGUGGACGUAUACGGUGUGACGCCUGCCCGGUGCCGGAAGGUUAAUUGAUGGGGUCAGCGCAAGCGAAGCUCCUGAUCGAAGCCCCGGUAAACGGCGGCCGUAACUAUAACGGUCCUAAGGUAGCGAAAUUCCUUGUCGGGUAAGUUCCGACCUGCACGAAUGGCGUAAUGAUGGCCAGGCUGUCUCCACCCGAGACUCAGUGAAAUUGAACUCGCUGUGAAGAUGCAGUGUACCCGCGGCAAGACGGAAAGACCCCGUGAACCUUUACUAUAGCUUGACACUGAACAUUGAGCCUUGAUGUGUAGGAUAGGUGGGAGGCUUUGAAGUGUGGACGCCAGUCUGCAUGGAGCCGACCUUGAAAUACCACCCUUUAAUGUUUGAUGUUCUAACGUGGACCCGUAAUCCGGGUUGCGGACAGUGUCUGGUGGGUAGUUUGACUGGGGCGGUCUCCUCCUAAAGAGUAACGGAGGAGCACGAAGGUUGGCUAAUCCUGGUCGGACAUCAGGAGGUUAGUGCAAUGGCAUAAGCCAGCUUGACUGCGAGCGUGACGGCGCGAGCAGGUGCGAAAGCAGGUCAUAGUGAUCCGGUGGUUCUGAAUGGAAGGGCCAUCGCUCAACGGAUAAAAGGUACUCCGGGGAUAACAGGCUGAUACCGCCCAAGAGUUCAUAUCGACGGCGGUGUUUGGCACCUCGAUGUCGGCUCAUCACAUCCUGGGGCUGAAGUAGGUCCCAAGGGUAUGGCUGUUCGCCAUUUAAAGUGGUACGCGAGCUGGGUUUAGAACGUCGUGAGACAGUUCGGUCCCUAUCUGCCGUGGGCGCUGGAGAACUGAGGGGGGCUGCUCCUAGUACGAGAGGACCGGAGUGGACGCAUCACUGGUGUUCGGGUUGUCAUGCCAAUGGCACUGCCCGGUAGCUAAAUGCGGAAGAGAUAAGUGCUGAAAGCAUCUAAGCACGAAACUUGCCCCGAGAUGAGUUCUCCCUGAGACUUAGAGUCUCCUGAAGGAACGUUGAAGACGACGACGUUGA
rnacentral:rRNA from 1 species